AGGGAACACAGCUGUUCAAGCCAUCUCCUUGCUACUGCAGAAGGGGGUACAGGAAAGUAACAUAAUAUUUCUCAACCUCAUAUCUGCUCCUCAAGGAUUACAUGCUGUCUGCAAAAGAUUCCCAAGAGUCAAAAUUGUGACAUCUGAGAUAGAGUUGGGUUUGAAUAGCAAUUCCCAAGUUGUUCCUGGAAUGGGAGAGUUUGGAGAUCGGUAUUUUGGCACAAAUGACGACUAGGAAGCAAUCUUCUCUAAUAGAAUCAAGAAGAGGCUCACUCAGAACCAAGAAAACUUCCAGUAAAUGGUACCGUAAUUAUUUUCCUUUCAAGUUCGACAAUAAAAGAGAGGUAAUCGAGUGUCCUGUGGCCUUGAGAGAAAUUUCACAUUAAAAAAAUCCAUCUCUCUCUCUCUUCAAGAAUUUGUUUUUUCAAUAUUUUUUCAGAAUAUUUUUUAAAUUUUUAGAAAAGUGCAAGG